CAACUUUCAACAACGGAUCUCUUGGUUCUGGCAUCGAUGAAGAACGCAGCGAAAUGCGAUACGUAGUGUGAAAUUGCAGAAAUUCAGUGAAUCAUCGAAUCUUUGAACGCACAUUGCGCCCUUUGGUAUUCCAAAGGGCAUGCCUGUUCGAGCGUCAUUU
rnacentral:rRNA from 1 species